GACGAACGCUGGCGGCGUGGAUUAGGCAUGCAAGUCGAACGGUAUCAUCCUUUCGGGGGUGAGAGAGUGGCGAACUGGUGAGUAACACGUAGGUUAUCUACCCUCAAGACGGGGACAACCCAGGGAAACUUGGGCUAAUACCGGAUGUGAGCAACUUUUAGUUGUUUGAAAGGUGGCGUAAGCUGUCGCUUGGGGAUGAGCCUGCGUCCUAUUAGUUAGUUGGUGAGGUAACGGCUCACCUAGGCAAUGAUAGGUAGGCGGCCUUAACGGGUGGUCGCCCACACUGGGAUUGAGAUACGGCCCAGACUCCUACGGGAGGCAGCAGUCGAGAAUAGUCUACAAUGGUCGGAAGACUGAUAGUGCGACGCCGCGUGAACGAUGAAUCCCUUCGGGGUGUAAAGUUCUUUUAUAUGUGAGCAGUGCUUCUUAUAUUAACAGUAUGGGGAGAGAGAUAUUAGCAUAUGAAUAAGCAACGGCUAACUCCGUGCCAGCAGCCGCGGUAAAGACACG
rnacentral:rRNA from 1 species